rnacentral:lncRNA from 1 species
UUUUUUAUCCUUCUUAUUUCCCAAUCAGAUGUGGAGCUAAAAUGAAAGGAGCAGUUAUUUGACUUCCAAAAUGGCAUAUAGUAGUGUGGGAUUUGGACACUAUUAGCAUGGAUUGACUAAACAACCUAGACACAUUUUUUUUUUCUGAAAUCCAUCACACACUGUUUGAAAUUCUCCUCUUUGGUCCAGCAAGAAGCAUCAGAGGGGAGCUGGUUUGAUUCCUGGCACUGAGUGACACAGCCU